UUAGAUUACAUUUGCCAAUACUGCAUAGACACAGAUAAGCUGUGCAGAGCUGUGGCCUCUCUCAUUCUGUUCCAGGAAAGUUCUAGUUUGGAAGCUAGGUGACUUCAACAAUAUAUUAAAGCUCUGAAGCAAAUUCCUAAACCUUGCUGAUGAAGUAGUUGCUUUCAAAUCAGACCUUUCUUAUAUCUGACCAGCUCUUUCAGUUAAGGCAAAGGUGGCUCAUCCAGCAGUGGUGCAUCCUACAGCUUUGCUUACCCAGUGGAGGAUGGGCAGUAUUGGUGCGAGUGCAACAAACCCCAAGGGAAUAGGCUACUGAACUGCUAGAGUGGAAAGUUCAUGCAUUAGUGUUCCCAUAUUUACGGCCAUUCAUCUAUUUUUGUUAAAGGAAGCUGAGAGUGCAGUGAUGAACUCAAGCCUGUGCAGGAGGGGCCACAUCAAAUUGUGCUGUUACUGCUACAGAUUUUUACACAUGUGUUUAUUGCUCUUACUCACCUGUGGCUGCAAGGUAAGUUACUUUUUACACUUAUUUCCAUGCAGCUCACUAGCAGAGCUCUUUUUUCUCCAGUUGAUUACGUUUGUAAUAACUGCUGUUCUCAGGAAUCACUUCUUCAUUGUCUGUUAGUGUGGUAAGUUUGUAUGGCAUUCAGAUGAUGUUUCAUGUACC
ensembl:lncRNA